rnacentral:rRNA from 1 species
UACGAAGGGGGCUAGCGUUGCUCGGAAUCACUGGGCGUAAAGGGUGCGUAGGCGGGUCUUUUAAGUCAGGGGUGAAAUCCUGGAGCUCAACUCCAGAACUGCCUUUGAUACUGAAGAUCUUGAGUUCGGGAGAGGUGAGUGGAACUGCGAGUGUAGAGGUGAAAUUCGUAGAUAUUCGCAAGAACACCGAUGGCGAAGGCAGCCCCCUGGGCCAACACUGACGCUCAGGCACGAAAGCGUGGGGAGCAAACAGG